rnacentral:rRNA from 1 species
GGUGAACGCUGGCGGCGUGCUUAAGACAUGCAAGUCGAACGGCAGUCUUCGGACUGUAGUGGCGCACGGGUGAGUAACGCGUAACUGACCUACCCCAAAGUCGCGGAUAACGAUUCGAAAGAAUCGCUAAUACGUGAUGUGCUGUCAGAUUGUGUUCUGCCAGUAAAGAUUGAUUGCUUUGGGAUGGGGUUGCGUUCCAUCAGCUAGUUGGUGGGGUAAAGGCCCACCAAGGCGACGACGGAUAGCCGGCCUGAGGGGGUGGCCGGCCACAGGGGCAGCGAGACACGGGUCCCACUCCUACGGGAGGCAGCAGUUAGGAAUCUUCCACAAUGGGCGAAGGCCUGAUGGAGCGACGCCGCGUGAGGGAUGAAGGUCUUCGGAUCGUAAACCUCUGAAUCAGGGACGAAAGACACUUCGGUGGGAUGACGGUACCUGAGUAAUAGCACCGGCUAACUCCGUGCCAGCCGCCGCCGUAACAC